UACGAAGGGGACUAGCGUUGUUCGGAAUUACUGGGCGUAAAGCGCACGUAGGCGGAUUGCUAAGUCAGGGGUGAAAUCCCGGGGCUCAACCUCGGAACUGCCUUUGAUACUGACAAUCUCGAGUCCGAUAGAGGUGGGUGGAAUUCCUAGUGUAGAGGUGAAAUUCGUAGAUAUUAGGAAGAACACCGGUGGCGAAGGCGGCUCACUGGCCCGGUACUGACGCUGAGGUGCGAAAGCGUGGGGAGCAAACAGG
rnacentral:rRNA from 1 species